CGGGAGGAAGGACAGACAACUGACCAUGAGGCGAGACUGGGCAGCACAGGGCUCGGCCCAGCCCCUGCUGGUGCAAAGCCCCCCGCCCCGGGGCUCUCACAGCACCAAGUAGGUGCUCCCUGCCAAAGCCCUGGCAUUUCUUCCUGACAGCAUCUUCCAGAAAGGCUGGGCAGGGAGGGUGUUCUCCUUUGGCAGAUGAGGAACGUGAAGGAACGUGAGGGCUCAGGGUGGCACGGAGGCAUCUCUUGGGGCAUCAGCUUUGGGGGCGCAGAAGGAGGCCGGCACCUCCCUCCCAGGCACCGAGCAAACACCCUCUCGUGGAUCCUCCCAACAGCCCUUCAAAGUGGGUGUCACCCACUCACCUCCCAAUCAGGAACCUGAGCC